UAUGCAAUGAACUUAAAAUUCAUCUAUAAAGAAUAAUCUUUUUUUAGA
rnacentral:tRNA from 3 species